AACAUAUCAACUAAAGAUAUCGUGACGUCAUGUUCCCGCGAAAUUUGUCGCCGCGUUUUUCAAUUGUUUCAAAAUUUAAAAAGACUGAACAAGACUGAAGAAAUAUGGCGCACAGUGGGUGACAGUGGUGACAGAAUUUCCAGGUUUUUCAAUAACUUCUGCUGAUGAGAUGCAGCAACAGGAGGAGAAGAUAGAAAUUAAAAAGAGGAAGAAAAUAUGUAGCAUCAGAGGGUGUAUUAACGAAAACAGCAGGAUGUUCUUCUUCCCCCAAGAGAGAAAGGAUAAGAAGAGGAUGGCAUAGUGGGUGGAAGUAUGUGACAACCCAAAGUCGGUGCUUCCACCUGAAAACUGAAAUUCAGGGUGAUCUGUAACAGCUACUUAAAAGAAAAAUACUUCAUGAGGAAAAGAUUAACAACACCAGCAGUUCCAACACUGAACUUAUUUGGUAAUAACUCUUAUAUACUUUUUAUAGCAUAUGUAAAUAAUUGUUAAUAAAAAUAUUUAUUGCUGAGGCUGUAAUAAAUAUUGUAUGUAAGAGGCUGCCUCUAUUAAAAUAGAGCAACAAGACA